rnacentral:rRNA from 1 species
AUUGAACGCUGGCGGAAUGCUUUACACAUGCAAGUCGAACGGCAGCACGGACUUCGGUCUGGUGGCGAGUGGCGAACGGGUGAGUAAUGUAUCGGAACGUGCCCAGUCGUGGGGGAUAACGUAGUGAAAAUUACGCUAAUACCGCAUACGAUCUAUGGAUGAAAGCGGGGGACCGUAAGGCCUCGCGCGAUUGGAGCGGCCGAUAUCAGAUUAGGUAGUUGGUGAGGUAAAGGCUCACCAAGCCGACGAUCUGUAGCUGGUCUGAGAGGACGACCAGCCACACUGGGACUGAGACACGGCCCAGACUCCUACGGGAGGCAGCAGUGGGGAAUUUUGGACAAUGGGCGCAAGCCUGAUCCAGCCAUUCCGCGUGCAGGACGAAGGCCUUCGGGUUGUAAACUGCUUUUGUACAGAACGAAAAGCUCUGGGUUAAUACCCUGGGGUCAUGACGGUACUGUAAGAAUAAGCACCGGCUAACUACGUG